ACUCAAAGGAAUUGACGGGGACCCGCACAAGCGGUGGAGCGUGUUGUUUAAUUCGACGAUAAACGAAGAACCUUACCAAGGUUUGACAUCCUACUAAUCCCAGUGAAAGCCGGGAGUGCCUUCGGGCCGUAGAGACAGGUGUUGCAUGGCCGUCGUCAGCUCGUGUCGUGAGAUGUUUGGUUAAGUCCAUCAACGAGCGCAACCCUUAUGGUUAGUUGGAUUUUUCUAGCCAGACUGCCCCGGUAACGGGGAGGAAGGAGGGGAUGAUGUCAGGUCAGUAUUACCCUUACACCUUGGGCUACAAACACGCUACAAUGGCCGGUACAAAGGGCAGCGAAAUCGCGAGAUGAAGCAAAUCCCAUCAAAGCCGGUCUCAGUUCGGAUUGCAGGCUGAAACUCGCCUGCAUGAAGCUGGAAUCGCUAGUAACGGUAGGUCAGCUAUACUACCGUGAAUACGUUCCCGGGUCUUGUACACACCGCCCGU
rnacentral:rRNA from 1 species